GUUUAUAUAGUUUAUAAAAACAUUACAUUUUCAAUGUAAAGAUAAAAUUAAUUUUUAUAAAUU
rnacentral:tRNA from 1 species